GUAUUCAGUAGUACAUUUGCAGUUGUACCAGUGGAGAAGGUGGUGGGGUGAUCAUGAUGAUCGGAUCGUUCGUCGUCGUUGUUGGUUGGUUAUAGGACACAAGAGGAGGUAGUGAAAGGAAAAAGACGAAGAAGAGAUCCUCAAACAACAGGGGACAGGGGAUUUGAAGACACAAACAAAGAGUCAAGUGUUACAAAAUGGCGGCUAUUAUAGCUCAAAUGAACCGGGCAAAAUGGGAACGGAAGAAAAACAAGAAGAAGCACAUUGCCACUAAUAAAAGCGGUCUGUUUAUCCCUCCAUUUGAUGAUGGACCCUUUGUACCUGAGAAGCACAAUAAAUACCUCAGAAAUCAUAAAAAGUACCUGCAAAAAAUUAGAACAUUGUGUAGUCAACCCCGUACAAAGACAAGGUCCUUGAAAUUAUUGAAGGACUUGAAUUAUUGACUUUCUACAGUACAUAUGUACAUGCUUUAAAGGACCAUGAAGGAAGAAAUUAUUUUUUUGCUUCAGUAUGAUCUAAGAGUAAUGCCAUUAGCUUAAACAAACACUUUUG
rnacentral:misc_RNA from 1 species